UAUGUCUAUUCUAUUUCUUUUCUUUUUUUUUAGACCUGUCCAAGCUGAGUGUUACCUCUCCAAGGCUGCCCUGCUGCUGGCCCAGAGCUGGCAGACUGCGCAGCGAGGGGACGGGCGAGUGACCCUGCCGACCGCGAGAUUCUCUGGGGGCCUGGCGGUGGAUGUGAUCGUUGUCUCCGUUGAGGUUGUUGUCACUCGCCGAGCGCAGCAAGGAUCGAGUCAGCUGGGAUAGGCUCCAGCAUACUCCAGCAACCCUAGUGAGGAUAAGUGGCAUAGAAGAUGGAUGGGCGGAUGUGUCAACAUGUGACGUGCAUGGGAAACUGUCAAAAUGUCACAGAUUGGCAUCUCGUGCCAUAAUAGAGAUUCUACUGCAUGCAGCCUUCUCAAGCAAGCCAAUGAAGAUUUCCAAACUCCAAUAGAUACACCUACGGAUAAGCACCUUGAAGUGAUGCCUUAUUUCCAAAGAUGCAGGACACACAUAAUGUACUGUAGAUGCAAGGACUCUGACUCACACAAGCCAGUUACUGUACACACUCAUCAGUCUUCCUAUAGCAAUUCAUUUAGAACACAUUCCAAUGAAGUCCUCAGCGUGGCUCGCCCUAAGGUGUAUACAUUUGCUACACAGGAAGUGUAGUGGAGUAAAAGACACUCCAGUCAUCACUGUGUAAAAGAGGAAGACAGAUGGUUGCUGUCAUUGCUCAUAUUUACCCAUUUGAGGAUUUGAUUCUCACUGAAACUGAAAGGUACAACUUUUGCAUAUUUUCCCUUAAGGUAGCACUUUUUGUUUUGCAUCAUUUCUGCAUCAUUUAAUGCCGAAUUAUGCUUAAACGUCAAAAUCACACUUAAGGUUUUGGAAUUUUAAUAUUUAAACAUUAAGCGGGGCUGCUAUUGUCUAUCUCAAGAGGCAAGAGGUUAUGUUUUAUUUAUGUGUAUGUUUGUUAUCGGUAUACACAUGUUGUAUGACAUCCCCAUCAGCGGUGCAGUGCAUCAACAAUGACUUACUCCCUACUUUGGCCAGUGAGCCGAGUUCUGGUUGUUUUUU